CUGCCCUCUCCCGCCCGCCUCCUUCUAGCUGAUUCUGAGGGCCUCGGGACCACAACAAGGUCCGCAGCCCGAAGGUCCCCAGCAGUUUCCUUGGACAGUCACGUGCGUGUGCAGCCGAGAGGACGCUGGACUCCAGGCAGCAGGUUCUGUCGACCCCACCUGGCUGGAUCACCUCAGCCUCAGACACAUGAGCGGAACCCAGGAUGGAAGAAUGUAAUCACCAGCGUGACUCCAGUGAUGGAACUGAACUAGAUGCAGAGACUGGGGAGCAGCAGAGUCAACUCAGUUAUCAUCUCGGCGGCCGGGCUGCCGUCCAGCUCACAGAAGCCAUCUGAUCCGGAAAAGAUUUCCGACGCCUGCUGGAGCUGUUUCCAUACAGGCAGAGGCCAGUGUCAUCUCCAGCACCUGGGAGACAUAAGAGAAAGAGCCAGUGGCCUUCCUCUGAGACAAUCUCAAAUGAACAUGCUUGACCCAGACGAGGGAAGGGUCACACAGACUCUGUCGAGGUAUGUGGCAGUUGAUAAAUCAUUUUCAAUAAGCUGCUAUUCUCUUACUUAAAGCAUUCUUCUUUCACUGUAAACAGUUGUUAUUUUCUUAGUUGGGUUUAGAAAACAUCCUACUAUCCCCAUCAUUGCAACUAGUUCUGAUACAUUUAGUAUCUUAGUCACCUCUCAACUCCAUGGACUCCAUUUCCUAAGUGCCAUGAGACAUGUUCCUGGGGAAACACUGUCCCAGGCAGUGAUUUGAGAGCAGGA